rnacentral:rRNA from 1 species
GACGCACGCUGGCGGCGUGCUUAACACAUGCAAGUCGAACGAUGAAACCUAGCUUGCUAGGUCGAUUAGUGGCGAACGGGUGAGUAACACGUGACUACCCUGCCCCUUUCUCUGGGAUAACGCUCCGAAAGGAGUGCUAAUACCGGAUACUCACACCGAGGCACAUGCCUUGGUGUGGAAAGUUUUUCGCAAAGGGAUGGAGUCGCGGCCUAUCGGCUUGUUGGUGAGGUAACGGCUCACCAAGGCGACGACGGGUAGCCGGCCUGAGAGGGCGACCGGCCACACUGGGACUGAGACACGGCCCAGACUCCUACGGGAGGCAGCAGUGGGGAAUAUUGCACAAUGGGCGCAAGCCUGAUGCAGCGACGCCGCGUGAGGGAUGAAGGUCUUCGGAUUGUAAACCUCUUUCAGUAGGGACGAAGCGAAAGUGACGGUACCUAAAGAAGAAGCACCGGCUAACUACGUGCCAGCAGCCGCAGUAA